UGCUAGUCGUACGAGUUCAUACUCGUGGCGAAUAGCUCAGUAACACGUGGCCAAACUACCCUUCGGAGCACAAUACCCUCGGGAAACUGAGGCUAAUAGUACAUACCAUACCACCACUGGAAUGAGUGGUAUGCCAAACGCUCCGGCGCCGAAGGAUGUGGCUGCGGCCGAUUAGGUAGACGGUGGGGUAACGGCCCACCGUGCCAAUAAUCGGUAUGGGUCAUGAGAGUGAGAACCCAGAGACGGAAUCUGAGACAAGAUUCCGGGCCCUACGGGGCGCAGCAGGCGCGAAACCUUUACACUGCACGACAGUGCGAUAGGGGGAUCCCAAGUGCACAGGCAUAGCGCCUGUGCUUUUCGGUACCCUAAGGCGGUACCAGAAUAAGGGCUGGGCAAGACCGGUGCCAGCCGCCGCGGUAAUACCGGCAGCCCAAGUGAUGGCCGAUCUUAUUGGGCCUAAAGCGUCCGUAGCUGGCCGCGCAAGUCCAUCGGGAAAUCCACCUGCUCAACAGGUGGGCGCCCGGUAGAAACUGCGUGGCUUGGGACCGGAAGGCGCGACGGGUACGUCCGGGGUAGGAGUGAAAUCCCGUAAUCCUGGACGGACCGCCGAUGGCGAAAGCACGUCGCGAGAACGGAUCCGACAGUGAGGGACGAAAGCCAGGGUCUCGAACCGGAUUAGAUACCCGGGUAGUCCUGGCCGUAAACAAUGUCUGCUAGGUGUGGCUCCCACUACGAGUGGGUGCUGUGCCGUAGGGAAGCCGCUAAGCAGACCGCCUGGGAAGUACGUCCGCAAGGAUGAAACUUAAAGGAAUUGGCGGGGGAGCACUACAACCGGAGGAGCCUGCGGUUUAAUUGGACUCAACGCCGGACAUCUCACCAGCAUCGACUGUGAUAAUGACGACCAGGUUGAUGA
rnacentral:rRNA from 1 species